UACGAAGGGGCUAGCGUUGUUCGGAAUCACUGGGCGUAAAGCGCACGCAGGCGGAUUGAUAAGUCAGGGGUGAAAUCCCGGAGCUCAACUUCGGAAUUGCCUUUGAUACUGUCUAUCUUCGAGUUCGGGAGAGGUUGGCGGAAUUCCUAGUGUAGAGGUGAAAUUCGUAGAUAUUAGGAAGAACACCAGUGGCGAAGGCGGCCAACUGGCCCGAUACUGACGCUACAUGUGCGAAGCG
rnacentral:rRNA from 1 species